rnacentral:misc_RNA from 1 species
GAUGAAGAACGUAGCGAAAUGAGAUAAGUAAUGUGAAUUGCAGAAUUCAGUGAAUCAUCGAGUUUUUGAACGCAUAUUGCGCCCUCUGGUAUUCCGGGGGGCAUGCCUGUUCGAGCGUCAUUAAAUAACCCUCAAGCAUAGCUUGGUGUUGGGCUUUUUUACGUCCUUGACUGGGAUGGGCCUAAAAAUUAGUGGCGAUGGCUUUUUUACUUUCAAGCGUAGUAAAUCUCGUCUUGCUAAAGAGGAAAAAGAUUUUUUUUCUGCCAAAAAUUUUAACAUUUAAAGUUGACCUCGGAUCAGGUAGGAUUACCCGCUGAACUUAAGCAUAUCAAUAAGCGGAGGA